AUGACGAGGGAGGUGAAGGGGCUCCACGACGCGCCUCCAACAAGGAAACGACGUCCUAGGACGCCGUCGACGCCGGCAUCGACCAAGGCCGAGCAAGGCUUUCACCCGGAGCUCACCAAAGCCAUCAUCACCACAGCCAAUCACCACCGACGGCGGCCAAGCACUCUACACCGCUCUCCACCGCCAACCGCCUCUUACACGGCCAGCAAAACCACCACGACACCACACGCCGUCAUGGCAGCCCCGCACCCACCGUCAAAGAGCGGCGCCGCCGCGCCGUCAUCCUCCCUCCUUGCUGCCGCAGCCAAACCACAACGCCGCCUGCAGCCCACCGAACUCGAGGCUGACCACCACGCAUCAGAUCCGGGGUAG
rnacentral:rRNA from 1 species